GACGAACGCUGGCGGCGUGCCUAAUACAUGCAAGUCGAACGCUGAAGGAGGAGCUUGCUUCUCUGGAUGAGUUGCGAACGGGUGAGUAACGCGUAGGUAACCUGCCUGGUAGCGGGGGAUAACUAUUGGAAACGAUAGCUAAUACCGCAUAAGAGUAGAUGUCGCAUGACAUUUGCUUAAAAGGUGCAAUUGCAUCACUACCAGAUGGACCUGCGUUGUAUUAGCUAGUUGGUGAGGUAACGGCUCACCAAGGCAACGAUACAUAGCCGACCUGAGAGGGUGAUCGGCCACACUGGGACUGAGACACGGCCCAGACUCCUACGGGAGGCAGCAGUAGGGAAUCUUCGGCAAUGGACGGAAGUCUGACCGAGCAACGCCGCGUGAGUGAAGAAGGGUGUCGGAUCGUAAAGCUCUGUUGUAAGAGAAGAACGAGUGUGAGAGUGGAAAGUUCACACUGUGACGGUAUCUUACCAGAAAGGGACGGCUAACUACGUG
rnacentral:rRNA from 1 species